rnacentral:pre_miRNA from 1 species
ACCCUUCUGUAUCCGUGCUGAAAUUUCGUCACACACCAGACCACAAGGGCUGAUGAGAUAAGUGAAGCG